UACAGAGGUCCCGAGCGUUGUUCGGAUUCAUUGGGCGUAAAGGGUGCGUAGGCGGCUUCCUAAGUUUGAUGUGAAAUCCCGGGGCUCGAACCCUGGAAUUGCAUUGAAUACUGGGAGGCUAGAGUACUGGAGAGGAAACUGGAAUUUACGGUGUAGCAGUGAAAUGCGUAGAGAUUGUAAGGAAGACCAGUGGCGAAGGCGAGUUUCUGGACAGUAACUGACGCUGAGGCACGAAGGCCAGGGGAGCAAACGGG
rnacentral:rRNA from 1 species